GCUCCAGUGGCGCAAUCGGUCAGCGUGCGGUACUUAUAAGACAGUACGAUGCUUAGCAAUGCCGAGGUUGUGAGUUCGAGCCUCACCUGGAGCA
rfam:Danio rerio chromosome 6, GRCz11 reference primary assembly.